rnacentral:rRNA from 1 species
UAUUGCACAAUGGGCGCAAGCCUGAUGCAGCAACGCCGCGUGAGGGAUGACGGCCUUCGGGUUGUAAACCUCUUUUGUCAGGGAAGAAGCGAAAGUGACGGUACCUGGAGAAAAAGCACCGGCUAACUACGUGCCAGCAGCCGCGGUAAUACGUAGGGUGCAAGCGUUGUCCGGAAUUAUUGGGCGUAAAGAGCUCGUAGGCGGCUUGUCGCGUCUGCUGUGAAAACCCGAGGCUCAACCUCGGGCCUGCAGUGGGUACGGGCAGGCUAGAGUGCGGUAGGGGAGAUUGGAAUUCCUGGUGUAGCGGUGGAAUGCGCAGAUAUCAGGAGGAACACCGAUGGCGAAGGCAGAUCUCUGGGCCGCUACUGACGCUGAGGAGCGAAAGCAUGGGGAGCGAACAGG